rnacentral:rRNA from 1 species
CACGUAGGGGGCAAGCGUUGUCCGGAUUCAUUGGGCGUAAAGAGCUCGUAGGCGGUUCGAUAAGUCGGGUGUGAAACCUCCAGGCUCAACCUGGAGACGCCACUCGAUACUGCUAUGGCUAGAGUCCGGUAGGGGACCACGGAAUUCCUGGUGUAGCGGUGAAAUGCGCAGAUAUCAGGAGGAACACCGGUGGCGAAGGCGGGUCUCUGGGCCGAUACUGACGCUGAGGAGCGAAGGCCAGGGGAGCAAACGGG